rnacentral:rRNA from 1 species
GACAGAGGUGCCGAGCGUUAGCCGGAAUCACUGGGCUUAAAGCGUGUGUAGGCGGGCCCGUAAGUACCUUGUGAAAUCCCACCGCUCAACUGUGGAACUGCUCGGUAUACUGCGGGUCUUGAGCCACCUAGGGGCAGCCGGAACAAGCGGUGGAGCGGUGAAAUGCGUAGAUAUCGCUUGGAACGCCAACGGUGAAAACAGACUGCUGGGGGUGUGCUGACGCUGAGACACGAAAGCCAGGGGAUCGAACGGG